AGAGUGUGAUUCUGGCUCAGGAUGAACGCUGGCGGCAUGCCUAAUACAUGCAAGUCGAACGAAGUCUUUAGGAAGCUUGCUUCCAAAGAGACUUAGUGGCGAACGGGUGAGUAACACGUAGGUAACCUGCCCAUGUGCCCGGGAUAACUGCUGGAAACGGUAGCUAAAACCGGAUAGGUAUGAGGGAGGCAUCUUCCUCAUAUUAAAGCACCUUCGGGUGUGAACAUGGAUGGACCUGCGGCGCAUUAGCUGGUUGGUGAGGUAACGGCCCACCAAGGCGAUGAUGCGUAGCCGACCUGAGAGGGUGAACGGCCACAUUGGGACUGAGACACGGCCCAAACUCCUACGGGAGGCAGCAGUAGGGAAUUUUCGUCAAUGGGGGGAACCCUGAACGAGCAAUGCCGCGUGUGUGAAGAAGGUCUUCGGAUCGUAAAGCACUGUUGUAAGUGAAGAAUGCCAUAUAGAGGAAAUGCUAUGUGGGUGACGGUAGCUUACCAGAAAGCCACGGCUAACUACGUGCCAGCAGCCGCGGUAAUACGUAGGUGGCAAGCGUUAUCCGGAAUCAUUGGGCGUAAAGGGUGCGUAGGUGGCACGAUAAGUCUGAAGUAAAAGGCAACAGCUCAACUGUUGUAUGCUUUGGAAACUGUCGAGCUAGAGUGCAGAAGAGGGCGAUGGAAUUCCAUGUGUAGCGGUAAAAUGCGUAGAUAUAUGGAGGAACACCAGUGGCGAAGGCGGUCGCCUGGUCUGUAACUGACACUGAUGCACGAAAGCGUGGGGAGCAAAUAGGAUUAGAUACCCUAGUAGUCCACGCCGUAA
rnacentral:rRNA from 1 species